GAUGAACGCUGGCGGCGUGCCUAAUACAUGCAAGUCGAGCGACAAGACAAGGAGCUCGCUCCUCUGCUGUUAGCGAGGGGCGGAUGAGUAACACGUGGAUAAGCUUCUACUAAUACUGGGAUAACUACGGGAAACCGCUGACACUAACACAUAAUAUGUUGAACCGCAUGAUUCAACAGUGCAUGACGGUUUUGCCGUCUCUUUUAGCUGGUUCCGCGCUGCAUUAGCUAGUUGGUAAGGUAACGGCCAACCAAGGCGACGAUGCGUAGCUGACCUGAGAGGAUGAUCGGCCACACUGGAACUGAGACACGGUCCAGACUCCUACGGGAGGCAGCAGUAGGGAAUCUUCGGCAAUGGGCGAAAGCCUGACGGAGCAACGCCGCGUGAGUGAAGAAGGUCUUCGGGUCGUAAAACUCUGUUAUUAGGAAAGAACAGAUGUGUAAGUAACUAUGCACGUCUUGACGGUACCUAAUGAGAAAGCCACGGCUAACUACGUG
rnacentral:rRNA from 1 species